CCUGCUGCUGGCCCCUCCACUGGCUUCUGGGGCUGGCACACUCAGCCACAGGUAAACAAGUGGUGAGCCAGCAGCAGGGGAGACACCACCACGGAUGCCAUCGCUUCCCUCUGGCACCGCCCCUCACCUCCCCAUCCCCGUCAGCCCCAGUUGGGUCAUUUCUGUGGCACCCAGAUGCCUCCCUCCCUGGGCUCAUGUCGCUGCUCCAGGCAGUCCAAUUCUAGCAGAGUGCAGCACGUGUUUGGGGAAGGGGUUCUCGCAGAUGGCUUGUGAUGGGUGUGGCCAGAGAGCUCUGUUCAGAUCUUAAGGGUUAAGGGUGUGCCAAAGGUGACACACCCAGGUUUGGCUUGGUAAAUCUCUAUCUCUCUCCCUCUCUCUUCUCUCUUUUAUUCUGAAGGGAAGUAAUUACCCAUAGCUGAGUUAUUCUUGAAGGCAAUCAGUGAGCACUAGCCCCUGUGGGUAUAAUAUUCAUCUGCUCUGUCCCAAGGACCACACAAAGGAUCUGUGCAGUCCUCAGUGUAAGCUCAGAAUCCCUUGCAAUCUCCCACCGGGUUGCCAAGGUUACCGAGUUUGUGGCGUCUCCCACUGAGUACUCAUGUCUGAGGCACUCUGUUUUCUCACACACCCUCAGUUUUUUUUUUCCACAGUGCCAUUUCAUAAGCUCCACACAUUCACUAGGUCUUAACUUUGUUAUUUCUCCCCUCCAGAGACAGGUUUUUUGCUUGGCUAAGGGCAGGCCCAGCCCUGUGGUGGCACAGCUUUUACGUAUAUCCAAAAUGGCGCCUGCUCUUUGACUUGCUCGCCUUUGUAAGGUGUGUGGAGAGAAAGAAUCGUGUCCAUACCAGUCCCUUUUAUGUUUUUUUCUCUCCUCUAGAUAGCCUGGUGAACUUUCCCCCAUGGGGCUUCAAGCCUCGUUCCCUCUAGGCUCUUCCUGCUGCUUUCCCGGCAGUGUCUCUGGCUACUGAGGUUUCGCCUCACCUCUCUUUCCAUUGCUGUUGCCUAGACUCAGUGGCUGGGGUCCCGAGCCGUGGGUGCCCGUGCCCUCCACAUAGGUCCACCGUGUCCCACUAGUUCCGGAAGAGUUUCUUCUGCAGUUUUUUCCCUAACUCUUCCCUGAAACUAUAGUAUCUCCACUUUUAUUAAACUAUCUUUUCCCAGACUCUCAGUGUGCGCCCUCCCUAUUCCACCAUCUUGGAUGAAGCCCAAGAAGGGCUAUUGACACAAUAAAUUUCAACAUACUUGUCUCCUGAGGUCACUUAAUUCCUUCUUCAUUUUCUAGAUUUCAGUUUUUGAGUUCAUACAACAAUUUCUUACAUCAUCCAGUGAAACCUAGGAUACAAAUUUUUUAGCAUUUUUUUAUUUAAAAGAUUUAGAGACUUUAUUUUUUUAUUGAAUAAAUGUGAAUUUAUUGAAUUAUUUAUUUAUUUAUUUUUUUGUAGCUUGAGUGGUCACCUGUCAGGGCUUUGAGGUGCCAAUCUCCGCCGCUUGGGGGCUGGUUUCCUUGAGAGAUUAUGGAAAUUUUCUUGUUAUCUUUUUGAUCCUGUGUAUCACAAUGUGGAUCUGGACUUGUGGUGUCCAGGGAAGCAAGCAGGGGAGCCUGGGGCGAGGGCUUCCCGCACUGGGCCCCGCUGCCCACCCUCCAGUACCUGUUCUUGUGCUCCACGACAUCUACACAGCUUCUUCUGCAAUCCAGGAUUUUCGACACUGUGGCCACAUUGCCCGCACUGGCAACUCUGUGAAUGGAACCAAGCUCCCAGCAGAGCAGGCAGUAUCCAAAAUGCGGUUGCCUCUUCAAGCGCUUGUUCUCAAACUCGCUAACAGUCCUGGUGCACUUACGAAUCACCCAUGAGAAAAGUUUCCCCAUAAUCAAAGCUAUCAGGGGCUUUCAGCCACCUCUGCAGCACAAUAUAAAGAAAUCUGGCAGUCUGGCCACCAUAUAACAGAGGAGCUUCGUGGUUUCCAACCUCUUGGCUCACAAUGUCACCCAACAACUGCUGCACAUGCUUAGCACCACUCUAAGCCCCGCCCUUUCUGCUCCUGGACAUUCCUUCCUCUUCCUCCAGGCUCCACCCAGAAGCCCCUACACCUCUGAGCCGGCCCCUGCACUCACUGUGGUUGGCUGUGAACCCGAACUCUGGGCCAUGGGCUGUGCCCCAACGCUGGGCAGUGCUUCUUGUGCCACUUUCUCCUGUGGCCUGGACUCAGCAGAACUAGGCAGUGGGAGGGCCAGGAAGAGGGAAGGAGGGUUCCCCCCAGGGAGCACAGCCGCCCCCUCCCAGCAGGGUAGCCCCACAGCUUUCCCCUGGGCUCAGGAGAUAGUGGGCUGUGUCUCCAGGUGGCUUGGGCCCUGGUGAGGUGCGACCCAUGGGCCACAUGUGCCCCUCUCCCUGGGCUCAGGCACAUGGUUGCGGGGAGGUGACAGGUAGGGGGCGGCCUCGACCUGCUGCUGCCACUCCACUGGCUUCUGGGGCUGGCGUGCUCAGCCACCAGUAAACAAGUGGUGAGCCGGCAGCAGGGGAGACACUGACCACCACGGACGCCAUCGCUUCCCUCUGGCACCGCCCCUCACCUCCCCACCCCCGUCAGCCCCAGUUGGGGCAUUUCUGUGGCACCCAGAUGCCUCCCUCUCUGGGCUCAGGUCGCUGCUCCAGGCAGUCCAAUUCUAGCAGGGUGCAGCACGUGUUUUGGGGAAGGGGCUUCUCCUGGGGAGCCAGCAGAUGGUUUCUUCUGAGAGGUGGAUUCUUGCAGAUGCCUAGUUCUGCCCAGUGAGACCCAGGCCCACUGCUUUAUUCUGGGGGGCAGACAAGGAGGCAGACAGAGCCAGAGGACCUGCAGGGGCUCCUCCCACCCCGUCUGUCACGCCUCCCCCUAAGCCCAGGCUGAGGUCAGAGUCUGCCCCGUCCUCACUAUGGGAGCUCGUGGGUCCUAGGCGGUGGUGCUGAAGCUGCCAGGCUAUGCAUGCUCUCCAGUGCCAGACCUCCUGCCCUUUGGCCUCCGCAGUGUGGCAGCCAUGCCAGCAGGAACUGCACUUCCCUCAGCCCUCUUGGUCCAGUGGAGACUCUGCUUGCCUUGUGCCUCAGACAUGUGAGGGACAUGGAGCAGCCAGAUGUCCCUGGCUGCUGGCCAGCUGAGGGACUUGCACAGUAUCUCAGCUCUGGGGAGUAAAACAACUUUCCCAGGUAUCAGUGCCCAGGUACCCUGGGCCUGGAAAGAGGGGCUUGAGGCCAGGAGGAGCCCCUGGCUGCCUGGGGAGCAGCAGAGCCUGGGCCUGCACAGAUUUCCCCUCCUUCCUGUCCCUCCCUCAUGGCUGGACUGUGCCGAGUUUUGAGAGGACCUGAAACUGUUCCUGUGGCUCUGCUGGGUAGGGCGAGCCAGGCCCAGGCUUGUGUCUGCUGAGCCCACCCCAGCCUUUGGCUCCACUGGUAUCAGGAGGGAAGCAGCUGCCAGGUGUCAUGGGGGGUGGGUGGUGACCCCUGGGCCAGGUGUUUCUGGAGCUGGCUGACACCUGGGCAUUUUUGGCUGGGUCAUAUAAGCUGAGCUAUCCCAGAGCCCUGGUGUGCAGUGUCUUUCUGGAUCCUUUGUUUUCCUACCUUCCUGACAGGUGCUGAUGGGUCUCUGUGGGCCAUGCUCUCUCCUUAGUGCUAGUUUUAGUAAGCAUGAAGGCCAGGGAGCCAGCUUUAGGGUUUACCAGAGAGAGCCAGGACGUGCUAGGGUGUGUACUGGGCCCCAGAGGCUGAGACUGUUACGGGCAUGGGCUGGCCCAACAGUGGGAUGCCACACCACCUGGAGGGGCCUCUAGCAGGGGGCAUCUGGUCUCUCCUUCUGCCCUCUUCCCAACAGCUUACAUGAAGCCAUGUCUCAGCCAAGUCCUCCUCCUAGACCUCCCUCAUCACUGCAUGGUGUCCUAACCUCUGCAAUAGGUCAGCCCAGCACCCAGGAUACUGGCUGUGAUACAGUGAGCUGGUAGCUGGGUCCCAGCCAGCUCUUCUCUGGGUUGAGCCAUGGUCAGCAGGACAAUGACCAGAGAGUGCUUGGAUGGGGAACAGAGGGCUGUGUAGCGUCUCCCAGCUCAAACUUUGGGUCUAGGGCUGCCUCUGGAUGCAGAACAAGGGGGUGCCUGCAGGGCUGGGCGGGUGGAGUCCAGAGCCUGUCCUGCAGGCUCUGCCCUCCCUUCCAUCCCAUCGCUGCCCUCCUUGCCCUUGGAGGUUCCAUCUGUCCUUCUGGUGCCAGCUGCAGCACAGGAACUGUGGGCAAGCGUUGGAUGCACCCCAUCCUUGCCACAGAUGUGUGGUGGUGGGCCCUGUGUGCACUGAACUCGGUGUCUUCAUGUCUGUAUGCCUGGGAGGUUCUGAGCCAGCAUGCUCUGCAUCUAGUCACCCCCUGGCCACCAGAGGGCAGCACACACAGGAGUCCUUGCAAGUGGCCUCCCUGGGCUGACCAGGGUUGCACCCAGCUGGCCCUGCUUCCUGUGUCUCUGCUGUCAGCCCUGUGAGACUCCUGGACUGGGCUUCAUGGAGGUGACUGGAGUGGCCUCCUUCCAACCCGCAUCAUUGGCAGUGGGAGGCCACGGCACCUUUGCAUACGGGCAGUGGGGAUAGUGAAUGAUAGAGUUCCUACCCAGGAAGAUCUCAGGUCAGACAGGGUCCCAGGAGAAGUACACAGAGGGCUGGGUCAGGAUGAGGUAAGCUCCCUGCACCCUCAGGCUGUGUCACGGCCACACAAGCCUGAAGUGUCUCUUCCUGUGCCCUAAUCCAGGCUUGGGAAUUCCCAGACACGCAGGAGCACAAGCAAACAUGGCACUGACUGGAGGCAGGAGCUUGGUGCCCUCUCCUCACCUGCCGCCUGGACCCUCUGUCUGCUCUCAGAGCUGACCCUGAGAGGGUGGGCAUCACGGUGCCUUGCAGACCAGAGGUGGGGCCUUCCAUGUCAGCUGUGGGCCGUCUAGCGCUGAGCAGAUGUUGUCCUGGUUGCUGCACUGGUCCAUCCGCAAAGGGAGCAGUCUCAAGUCAAUCAUAGUUUCUAGGGAUGCCCUUCUGCUUCUUUAGGGGUUGCUUAGACAGGGCUGGGGUUUGAGCAGGGCAGCAGGCUGGGCUCUCUGCUGUGCUCUGUCCAUUCACCUCAUUGCUGAUGGCUUCUCUGGGCUGGACAGAAGAAGGACGCUGAAGUUUGUGAACCAGCCAGGCCAGAGGUCUUCUGAAUAAAAGUCAACAGCAGCAGAAGCCUCAGGUCACGGUGCCUGCUGUAGCCCUGGGCUACUGAACUUUAGUGCUCCUCAGCGUUCUCAUCUGAGAAGUGGUGGUGACGAAACUUUCUCCCAGGAAUGGACGUGUAAGCAAGAAGACAGAAUGCGUGCACAUAGGGUCUGGCAUAUCUCUCUCUCUCUCUCUCUCUCUCUCUCUCUCUCUCUCUCUCUCUCUGUUCCUCUCUGUCACUCUCUCUUUGAAAUAACUAAUUUUUAAGGCCCGGAGUAGAAACUGUAUGAUGUAAGGUAUUUUUCCACCUCUCUCAAUGAAAGAUGCUGAAGCAGACAGAGAUGGGGAUGCCGGCGAGUUCCAUCUGGACUCCCACAGGAGUCACCCCUGCCUGGAAAGCCCAGGGAAUUUUUGGAGCUGGAGAAAAAGAUGUGCUUGCUCCAGUUUGCAAUUUCAAAAUGAGGAAGGGAAGAACUUGCAAAGAGGAAGUGCUUACAGCCCCACCACCACCACCCCCCUGGGAGGGCGGAAGGGUUCAUCUGAGACCUCUAAGUGUGCUGCCCGUUAAGGGUAUAUCUAGGGCAAAGGCCAGGGCUCCUCCCGAAAGGGACAGGAAGUGCACGCCAGCGCAGUGCCUCCCUGGGCUUGGGUCCGAGCGCGGGCCCUUCUUCCUCCACCUGGACCUCAACAGGACAGGACAAAAAUGGAGAAGCCCGGAGCUUCCGAGGGCUUACCCAGGCAGUACCCAGUGGAUACAGAAGUCUGUGAUCUCUCUCACAGAGAGGCUAAGGGACGAGUAAACGAGAGCAUCAGUGGAGUGGUGACAGACAGGGAGCACACAUCCACACAGGCCUGCACAGCCAGCCCCACAACAAGUCCAGGUCCAAACAGGUCCCCCCACUCCCUGGUGUCAGAACUCCAUCCUCCUUGGAAGGCAAAAAAACACAAGCAGGAUGCAGCAUGCCACCAACCCCCAUUGAAUGUGUCAACCGUGUUUGGUCCAAAGAGGGGGAGAGGUAGGCAGGAUAGGAGAGCUGCUACCCUGUUUGAAGCGUGGCCAGGAGGGAGGGGGACCUAUGUGAGAUGCAAAAGGGAGAGUCCUGAAUUUUCUAGAAAAGAGACCUUCCCAAAAAGGACAAGGGACAGUGUUGCGGUGCUGGGCACAUCUUAACAGAAGCUGGCGUGGGUUGUGAUGUUUGCCAGGGCCCCCUUUAUCCACAGCUGGAAACACAACCAGGAGUUCUGUCCAGGGCCAGCUUGCAGGUGACGAAACUGGCACUUGAGAGGUUAAAGAAUCUGCCUCAAGUUGCCCAGAAAUGACCAGAGAUCACAUAAGCGGUUUCUUGUGCCACAUUUCUAGGAGCCCUGAGUGAAACGCAUGCAGGUCUAAAACCUGAUUGUUUCCCGAGUUUCUGGUGGCAUCGGGUGGACGGACGUCUCUCCCAAAACCCAGCCACAAAAGGAGAUGGAGCUGAUAUAGGCAGGCGGAUAGGACUGAAUGCAUUAGAUUUGUGAGCUGGAGACCAUGCUUUCCCCUGCCCCUACCUGACCUCACCUGUAUGCCCACCUGCCAAUCAGACUCCGUAGCCACUCCCUUUUGGAAGUGAAUAAAAAGCCUGGAGCAUGGUGAGCCCUCCCCUCCCGACGUCCGGCCUUCUGGGUCCCACUCUCUGUGUUCCUGCCCAGGCUACGCGCCCUGUGCAAGCCCCUGCCUGCAUGCUUGCUCCACAUGGCUCCCGGCCUGCUCUCUGCCUGCUGUGGACUCAGGAUCAGUUUCUAGACUUCUUUCUCCUCUAAAUAAAGCCCUCACUUUCCUGUAUAUUUCUUUCACUGAAUAAAUGCUAAAAACUGUACCAUGUUGCCUGUUUCAUUUAUAAGCAGCCGAUAUUUAGAAUUCUUAUGUAAAUACACAGUAAGAACCCUCAACAUUUUGAGUAAAGGGGCCUGAUUUCAGAAUGAAAGGGCCCGUUAGUAAUCUGAGAACUUGAACUUGUGGUAUUGAUGCUAUCAGGUCAGUUCAACUCAGUACAAAGCUGUUUCCUAGACUAAGGGGUUCUGUGUUUUCAGUUCUGUGUCUUUGUCUUUAUUUCCUGUCUAAAUAGGCUCUAGGGACCCCAGGAGCUCUCAAGAUGAUGUUGGGGUGGUGGUGAGGUCAAAGCUAUGUUCAUGCAAAUAUAAAUCAAUUGUUUGCCUUUUUCUCACACCCUUGUCCCUCUCUGGGCCUCCAGAGAGGCAGAUGGGAGAAUCCAGCUGUCUUCUGUGAAGCCAGGCUUUAAAGAGAUUUUCUUUCCUGCAAGAAUUUUUUUUUUUUUUGGUUUGGAAAACCAUUAAAACUUAUUUCUGCUAAGAUGGAAUUGUUUUAUUAUUUUCUUUUUAAGAUUUAUUUAUUUAUUUGAAAGUUAGAAUUACACAGAGAGAAGAAGAGGGAGAGAGAGAGAGAGGCCUUCCAUCCGAUGGUUCACUCCCCAACUGGCUACAACAGCUGGAGCUGCACCGAUCUGAAACCAGGAGCCAGGAGCUUCUUCCGGGUCUCCCACGCAGGUGCAGGGACCCAAGGACUUGGGCCAUCUUCUGCUGCUUUCCCAGACCAUAGCAGAGAGCUGGAUCGGAAGUGGAGCAGCGAGGACUAGAACCGGCACCCAUAUUCACCCUCCCAGUACCUCCCCUCCCCUACUCCCAGUGGCUUCCAGGAAUUUGAAACCUGUAUCCGGCAGGUCUGUGGGUGCAGCCCAGGGACCCUGACCAAAGGACGACUCAGAGUGACCAGGUCUUGCCUUUCUGAGUCUUACAGAUGACAGCAACAUUUAUUAUCAUCAUCAUUAUUAUUGGAGAGGCAGAGAAGCAGGAAGUGCAAGUGACCUAUUUAGCAACAGGAUAUUCUUGGUGAUACGGGUACAGAGGACUUUCUGAGAAGGGGCAGGUGCCAGAACGGAAGGGCUGAGCUCCAAAUUUCCUGUGUUCUCUUUUUGUGAAAAUAUAAACUGUCCUUACGGCAAACUCUCAACGGCCGCACCUGUGAACGGCCCAUUUUUAUACAGCAAGUACUUCCCAACAGAAUUCGAUGUACUUUUCAAAAUUUUACAGAAGAGCCUAUGCUAUUUUUUUUUAAUUUAUCUUGUUUGAAAGGCAGAGAAAGGGGGGGAG